rnacentral:rRNA from 1 species
GAGUUUGAUCAUGGCUCAGAACGUACGCUGACGGCACGCCUAACACGUGCAAGUCGAACGAAGUAGCAAUACUUAGUGGCAGACGGGUGAGUAACAUGUAGGUAUCUGCCCUUUGGCCUGGAAUAACACGAGGAAACUUGUGCUAAUACCGGAUAAGUCUUUACGGAGAAAGCUUUAUGCACCAUUGGAUGAGCCUGCACUUGAUUAGUUUGUUGGUGGGGUAAUGGCCUACCAAGACUUUGAUCAAUAGCUGAUUUGAGAGGAUGAUCAGCCACAUUGGGACUGAGACACGGCCCAAACUCCUACGGGAGGCAGCAGUGGGGAAUCUUGCACAAUGGAGGAAACUCUGAUGCAGCGAUGCCGCGUGAGUGAAGAAGGCCCUUGGGUUGUAAAGCUCUUUCGUCGGGGAAGAAAAUGACUGUACCCGAAUAAGAAGGUCCGGCUAACUUCGUGCCAGCAGCCGCGGUAAUACGAAGGGACCUAGCGUAGUUCGGAAUUACUGGGCUUAAAGAGUUCGUAGGUGGUUGAAAAAGUUGGUGGUGAAAUCCCAGAGCUUAACUCUGGAACUGCCAUCAAAACUUUUCAGCUAGAGUUUGAUAGAGGAAAGCAGAAUUUCUAGUGUAGAGGUGAAAUUCGUAGAUAUUAGAAAGAAUACCAAUUGCGAAGGCAGCUUUCUGGAUCGUUACUGACACUGAGGAACGAAAGCAUGGGUAGCGAAGAGGAUUAGAUACCCUCGUAGUCCAUGCCGUAAACGAUGUGUGUUAGACGUUGGAAAUUUAUUUUCAGUGUCGCAGCGAAAGCAAUAAACACACCGCCUGGGGAGUACGACCGCAAGGUUAAAACUCAAAUGAAUUGACGGGGACCCGCACAAGUAGUGGAGCAUGUGGUUUAAUUCGAAGAUACGCGCAGAACCUUACCAACACUUGACAUGUUCGUCGCGACUUUAAGAGAUUAAAGUUUUCGGUUCGGCCGGACGAAACACAGGUGCUGCAUGGCUGUCGUCAGCUCGUGUCGUGAGAUGUUGGGUUAAGUCCCGCAACGAGCGCAACCCUCACUUUUAGUUGCCAUCAUUAAGUUGGGCACUCUGAAAGAACUGCCAGUGAUAAGCUGGAGGAAGGUGGGGAUGACGUCAAGUCCUCAUGGCCCUUACGUGUUGGGCUACACACGUGCUACAAUGGUAUCUACAACAGGAAGCAAGACGGCGACGUUUAGCAAAUCCUUAAAAGAUACCUCAGUUCGGAUUGCACUCUGCAACUCGAGUGCAUGAAGCUGGAAUUACUAGUAAUCGUGGAUCAGCGUGCCACGGUGAAUGCGUUCCCGGGUCUUGUACACACCGCCCGUCACACCAUGGGAGUUGGUUCUACCUUAAGGCAAGGUUUUAAACCCUUGACCACGGUAUAGUCAGCGACUGGGGUGAAGUCGUAACAAGGUAACC